CAAAAGAUUAAAGAAGGGUAGAAUUGAAAAUCUAUGUCGAAAUAAAAAUUUUACAAUAACAAUACUGUCCUAAAUUAAUGGAAAUCUUCCGAACCAUGUAAAAAGAAGAAAAAAAAAAAAAAAGGUAUGUGUUGAAGAUAGAGAAAAGAACAACAGUACUCACUCACUCCCAUGCACGUGUAAUCCUAGGAGUCUCGUCAGGAAAUCCUCGUAUCCUAAAAGCAUCUCUUUCUGUCUUUGUUUUUAUUUAUUUUAUUUUUAACUAUAUUCUAGGAUAUGAUAAUUAGGCGCCAAACCGACAUUAAUAAAAUUAAAAUUCUCUCUCUUCCAUUAUUUUAUUUCUCCUUAAUCCGAGUUAGUAAACUAUGCACGACAGAGAAUAAGUGAUACCCCUCUAAGUUGUAAGUGUCUUAAGACUCUCUCUAAGCACUACCCAACAACCAAAAAUCAGAAAGAAGCGACUUUUAGACUCUUCUGAUCUCAGGUUUUCUCUGUGAUAGAAGAAAGCAAACAUGAGCUCUCUUGUACAGGGUCUCAUCAAGUCGCUUGCCAUGACUGUGCUCUCUGAGGUCGGCGACAACACAUUUUUCGCCACAGCGAUCCUGGCUAUGCGUCACCCUAGGAGACCUGUCUUGCUCGGUUGCCUCGCAUCUUUGUCUGUGAUGACUGUUCUCUCUGCUCUCGUUGGCUGGGCUACUCCUAAUCUGAUCUCUCAUAAAUGGGCACAUCACAUAACAACAUUGUUGUUCUUUGUGUUCGGGCUAUGGUCUUUAUGGGAUGGAAUUAAAGAUGAUGGAGAUGAUGAUGAGUUCGCUGAAGUUGAAGCAAAACUGGAUGCUGAAUUGAACUCUGACAAAGGAACUACCAAAAAGAAAAGUAAGGAUGAUGAUGAAUUGAAAAGGCAAAAACAACCGUUUCUCUCACAAUUCUUUUCACCAAUCUUUUUGAAGGCAUUUUCUGUUACUUUUUUCGGUGAAUGGGGUGACAAGAGCCAGCUGGCUACCAUAGGUUUGGCUGCAGAUGAGAACCCACUUGGUGUUGUUCUUGGUGGAAUUAUAGGACAAGCACUGUGUACUGUUGCAGCUGUCCUUGGUGGGAAGAGCUUGGCAUCUCGAAUAUCUGAGAAAAUAGUUGCGCUCUCAGGUGGAGUUCUUUUCAUAGUUUUUGGGAUUCAAUCCUUUCUUUCAACGGUUGAGUCAUGAUGCAUAUGAUCAAGUUAGACGGCGUCCACAAGUUAGUACUGAGGAGUUUGGUUUUCUUGAGAAGAUUUUCCAAAAGACCAAGCCGGAGGAAAGGACUUGGGAAAAGUUAGUAAACCCUGAUACAAUCCACUGGUAUUGUGACGGUCCUGAACCAACGCCAGAAGCCGUCAGAUACAACGCAAAAAUUCGUAGACAGAUGGACGAUGCUAAAAGGAGGGUGUUGAUUAAAACACAGGUUGCCAGGAGAAAGAAGUUCGGCGAGGUGGUUCCUAAGGGGAUGGCUCCGUCAAUAAAAAGAAAGCAACCAUUCAAAGGGGACCGUCCUCUUAAGCAACAAAAGGUCCCUUUGGAACCCGUCGUAGGGUUGAUGGCUGAGGGUAUGAAGAUGGUCACCCCAGCAAAGCAUGGGCCAGGCAAGGGCUUUAUGAAGGCCCCAUCUACUAGCCAGGAGAAGCCACCUCCUCUCUUUUGUGACGACUCCAAAUAUGCCAUGGAGAAACUUUCGUCUAUCAUCACGUCGGAGGACUAUGAGAAUUUAGGCAAUCACUCUAUGGAGGCAAUGGGGGAGACGGGCCUCUUCGCAAUUGCACAAGUAAUCCUUGUCCGUCGACUUACAUCUGUCCACUCCACUUAGUUUUUAUCUUGCCCCUUUUUUUUUUUUUUUCCCAGUCCCUGAUUAUGAUGAAGGGCCUAAUGGAUCGGUGCAUUAACCGUGAGACGGCUCUGGAACGUGUGCAAGCCAAGGCAGAGCAGACGGAGGAUGAGCUGGGUCAACUUAACAAGUGGAAGUCCACUAUGGAGAAAAAGUUUGACCUUUCAGAGCAGGUGAGGAAGGAGCUUGAGCAAAAGACGGAUGAGGCGAGGAAGGCCCUGGAGGUCAAAGACGAGGAGAUCCAAGACCUGAAGGAAAAGCUCCGUCAAGCUAAGGAGACGGCGAUACGAGAAUAUCGUGACUCCGACGCCUUAUUGUCCGAGCUGGGAGACUCAUUCAUGCAAGAUUUUGAUGAUGCGCUCUGUCAAUUUAAGAAUGUUGAUGACCAAGCCCAGACAUCUGCUAUGCCCGUCACUUCAGAGAACACAGAUGACCUUUUUCCUGAGGAAACAGCCCAAGGCGACGGAGAGUCAGCUCGAGCAAAGAAUGUUCAAGAUGCUGACCCUAAAGAGUAGAGAGUUUUUUUUUUUUUUUUUUGGGUAUAUUUGAGAACAUUCCGUCAUUAAUUUUGUGUAUUGAACAAUUGCCUCUCGGGGGUUUUAUCCGUCAAUGUUACUUGCUUUAUUUCACAACUUUAUGCCUGCCUUAUCUAUCUUUAUUAUUUGAACCAGAUGUAUAAAUCUCUGUCCUCUUCAGUUGUCCACUUUAUGGAGAACCGUCCAUCUUUAUGGAUU